GAUGAACGCUGGCGGCGUGCCUAAUACAUGCAAGUCGAGCGAACAGACGAGGAGCUUGCUCCUCUGACGUUAGCGGCGGACGGGUGAGUAACACGUGGAUAACCUACCUAUAAGACUGGGAUAACUUCGGGAAACCGGAGCUAAUACCGGAUAAUAUAUUGAACCGCAUGGUUCAAUAGUGAAAGAAGGUUUUGCUGUCACUUAUAGAUGGAUCAGCGCCGCAUUAGCUAGUUGGUAAGGUCACGGCUUACCAAGGCAACGAUGCUUAGCCGACCUGAGAGGGUGAUCCGCCACACUGGAACUGAGACACGGUCCAGACUCCUACGGGAGGCCGCAGUCGGGACUCUUCCGCAAUGGGCGAAAGCCUGACGGAGCAACGCCGCGUGAGUGAUGAAGGUCUUCGGAUCGUAAAACUCUGUUAUUAGGGAAGAACAAAUGUGUAAGUACCUAUGCACGUCUUGACGGUACCUAAUCAGAAAGCCACGGCUAACUCCGUG
rnacentral:rRNA from 1 species